rnacentral:rRNA from 1 species
AAAACGACUCUCGGCAACGGAUAUCUCAGCUCUCGCAUCGAUGAAGAACGUAGCAAAAUGCGAUACUUGGUGUGAAGUGCAGAAUCUCGUGAACCAUCGAGUCUUUGAACACAAGUUGCGCCCCAAGCUAUUAGGCCGAGGGCACGCCUGCUUGGGUGUCACAC